CAUGCCGAGCCGUUAUUUGAAAAAGAUUAUUUUUCCCCUGCCUCCGUUCUGUUGCUGCGACGCCUGGCUACCAGCUCAGAACAACGACUACCGUGUCUUUGCUUCUUCACUACACAGAGAGGUAGAAAGAGAAAGAGAAAGAGCAGAGGGAAUACCGAAGAAAGUGGCCGAAUACUGGAGUUCAUCUCUAACCUGCAUUUGAUCAGUCGGCACGAGGUUAGCCACUUCUCACUCUGAAAUCUUCUCGACUCUUUCACGACUUACCAUGUCCGAAGCAGAUAACCUGAGCAAAUUCCAUUAUCUCUAACCCAAAAUUGAAACAACCCAAACGCUCAAAACACCCAAUUCCUCAAUUUCAUUUCUUCUGCCGAGCAUGAGAAAAAUGAGAGGUUUCAAGCUCCCAAAACGACUCUGCCGGGUCACCCGAUGGUUCUUCCUCAGAAAAUCCACCACUCUAAAACGGAUACCAUAGGCUUUGCCCGCCUUCAUCUCCGCCAUGCAAGUACAAGUCGCUUCGCACGAAGCUACUCACUUGAGGGAAUUGUGGGCUAUCUGUGGUUGCUGCAUCUGCAGCUCCAUCAGCUGCAACUGUAGUACAAGCUGGCACAAAAAGCUUACCUCUAAGCCUUGCAGGUGCUUUUUGAUGAGAGGGUCAUCUUGGCUCAUCAAUCAGGAUUAGAAGCUUCCCAACCUGCUCUAACUCAAUAUCGGGUGCUUGGUCCUACGAUGAAUGAAUGCUCAUGGAUUGAAUUACAACCACUCACUAGCUGAAAGCAUCAAGUAUAAAUUCCUAAAUUUAAAUGUGCGCGCCGCCGCCCCCCCCCAUUUCAUCAGCUUUGAUGGAAAGAAGUUGUUUGCUUAGGUGUUGAAUAUCAAUUGGUUUCAGGAGGCAACCAAGUGGGAACGACUAGGCUGAAGAACUAGCUGCGGCUCUAGCAGUAAGCAAGGGUCAUCCUGUACAAAAUGAUAUCAAUGCGGUAUGCCUAUCAAUUUCUUGAGAUGCUGAUCAACUUUUAGAAUCAGAAAGGAAGUUUCAUUGAUAUUGAAAGUGUUAAUUUUUGGAUGGCUGAGGAAAGCUUUAUGGAUCGCCUAGGCACCUAUAUGCAUGAAUCAUGCCCCAAGAUUGACAAAGAUUGCUGGCAAGGAAACUGUAAUGAACCAUUUCCAGCUUCUUUGGUGUUUGUAGUCCAUGGAUCAGAUGAGUCCGCUUCGGUUGAAGAUGCAUUUGAGUUUGGCAAGAUCAUACCGGACCACUAAAUACAUAUUAUACAAAGAUCUAAUCAUUGUUACACGUCGCAUCAAGCCAAGUUGGACACAGUUGGUGGUGGACUUGAUAAAGGGAGCUCUGCAGCAAAACAAGGCCUUUUCCAACUAGCUGGGUACUCUAUGCUUACCAAUCAACAUUUAAAUUCAUGUUGUGUAUGUCCUAUGUCAUUAGAUUGUUGAUUCUUAUCUUUGAUGCUGAAUUGUUUUCCGAGUCUGUUUUUUGUAUGCCUAUAGAACUUUGAAUCACAUAUUGACAUAGGGAAGGAUUCCCUACCGCCCCAGCCUCCCUCUAUAACACUUAUUUCUGAUGCUUCUCUUAACUCCUCAUCGUUAAAAUUAAGACCAUACUUCCACAACAUAAUUAAAAAGUACACCUUCUCAUAAAGUACAUCUUAUUAAUCUGAUUAUUCUUGAAAAGGCUUGAUUUAAAUGCUGUUCCCAACCCAGAAAUGGUUAGUAUUGUUGAGCAUGUAUGCAGACCUGCCUUCAUGAUAUUCCAUCUUUCUGAAAUUAUGAGUAUGAGUGAGUUAGUAUUGUUUGAUUGUUACUGUGACAAUCAGAAGACUUUGAUUGGCCAUAUGUUAUGCAUUGAGCUUAUUUUGUUUCUUAAUUGUUAUUCUUUUGCUUCGUAGUGUAUAACAGUUACCAAUUAAUAUUUUAUCUAUUUCUCAAUGCUUCAAAAUACAAGUGCAUAGGAGAGUGUCUUCCAAAAUCACAUCAAGUGCAUGCCAAGCAAGAUUGAAAACUGAAGGACCAUCUUUAGAACACUGUCAGUAGAAGAUCAAUAAAGCUGUGCAUAUAUUUUUGCUUCCUACAUGACAACAUUUUUUUGAUAAGACACUAAUUUAUAUGAAGCUGUGAAGACCUUUUUUGCUCCCUACAUAGUGAUCUUUUGUGAUGAAGUGAUAUCCACCAUUAUUUCGAUAUUAUACUGUUUUGUAGAAAGACUGCAUACAAAAUGCAUAUCCUUGAACUAGAUUCAUACAAUGUAAACUAAGUUCUAAAACAAUUUGUUUAACGCAUAUUUUUCGUUUCAUGUAAACACAUCUUAGUUAUCUUUGUCAACCAAAAACUUAAAAUCGAACAUAAAGAGAUUAAAGUAGAAAAUCUGCCCCGCGGCAACGCGCGGGUUCUCA